UACGGAGGAUCCAAGCGUUAUCCGGAUUUAUUGGGUUUAAAGGGUGCGUAGGCGGAUUGUUAAGUCAGUGGUGAAAGGUUGACGCUCAACGUUGACAUUGCCAUUGAAACUGGCGGUCUUGAGUGCAAAUGAGGCAGGCGGAAUGUGUUGUGUAGCGGUGAAAUGCAUAGAUAUGACACAGAACACCGAUUGCGAAGGCAGCUUGCUGGAAUGUAACUGACGCUGAGGCACGAAAGCGUGGGGAU
rnacentral:rRNA from 1 species